AUUCCCGACCGAAUUCCUCCGCACAUUGACUACUAAUCUUUUGGUGUAAAUUGUCUUUAUACGGCAUUUGAUGUUCCUGGAAGUGAAGCAGCAGAACACAUUAGAUAUAGGCCUCCUCUAGCCACAAAGAUCAUUUUUGUUGGCUUGGUUGUGCCUGGUGGACCUGGAGCAUUGGCCUCUCACUUGGAAUGGCUUCACAAACCUGCUACAGUACUAAGUUUUCAGCAUGGGUGAGAUGAUGGACAAGCUGGCUGCCAAUUAAAAACCUGUUUUUACGCCUUCUCAGCUACAAGUAGCAUCACAGCCUGUUUCCCUUAAUCUUUCACCACCUAUGUUACAUAAAGCCGGUCCAUCGUGUGCAAUAAGGUUGCAUAUCACUCCGCUAAGCUAUAGCUCAUGGAGAUAUAUUUUACCAGUCAUUUUACCAGAAGAGCCUGGAUUUUUUUUUGACAGCUCGAGCAGAUACUAACGUGAAAAACCAUUUGGGGCAUUUUGGCGUGGUCCAUUGGGAUGAAGACAAAAACAACUACCGAAUUCGUGAUUUCGACUAAAGAGUUUGUCAGCGAUGCUGAAGUUCAGUUAAUUGGCUAUGGAAACCGUCUUUAAAUACCGCGGUGCAAAAUGUUGGCAUCUUUGGAAGAAUUUACUUCGUGCUUUCGAAAUUCUCAUGGGAUUAUUGCAAGAUUGAAGGCCAUGAAGGGGGUAUGAUACAGUCCGUUCCCAACUGGCACAAACUUGUGUUUGAAAGCAAGUACAGAGCAUGUGCAGUGACCAUGCACCAGUCCUAGUUGAAAAUGUAUCGAAAAAACAAAAACAGUCAGAGCGAACAACAAUGAUAGUUUCAGCAAUGAUAACGGGAAUGCUGGUAGAAGUCACUACGUUCACCCCAACGCAAAAGAUGUGCAACCCCGGGUCUAUGCUCCGUCCUCGAGCACCGACAGUUGACAGCUGGUGCAGGCAAAUCCCGGACUUGUGCGCAUGACGUCUUUCAAGCGCUUCCAGUCGGCCAUCAUUGAGCGGACUAAUCCACCAAGACAAGGUAAUUCAAAAUCUGCCACACACAUUUAUCGAAACGGUAGUCAAACUCUUGGGGGAUAUUAUCGCUAUCAAAUCGAAAUAAUCAUGGAAUAAUAGCCAUCGUGAAGUACAUCAUGGAUAGUUACAUUCUGCUUUUUCCAA